rnacentral:rRNA from 1 species
UUAGGAAUCUUGCGCAAUGGGCGAAAGCCUGACGCAGCGACGCCGCGUGACUGAUGAAGUCUCUCGGGAUGUAAAGGUCUUUUCUGGAGGAAGAAAAAAAUGACGGUACUCCAGGAAUAAGCCCCGGCUAACUACGUGCCAGCAGCCGCGGUAAUACGUAGGGGGCGAGCGUUGUCCGAAUUUACUGGGCGUAAAGCGCGCGUAGGCGGACUAUUAAGUUGGUGGUGAAAUCCCGAGGCUCAACCUCGGAACUGCCUCCAAAACUGUUAGUCUUGAGGUAUGGAGAGGAAAGUGGAAUUCCUGGUGUAGCGGUGAAAUGCGUAGAGAUCAGGAGGAAUACCAAAGGCGAAGGCAGUCUUCUAAGCCGAUAUUGACGCUAAACUGCGAAGGUGUGGGUAUCAAACA